UACGUAGGGUGCAAGCGUUGUCCGGAAUUAUUGGGCGUAAAGAGCUUGUAGGCGGUUUGUCGCGUCUGCUGUGAAAUUUCGGGGCUCAACCCCGAACUUGCAGUGGGUACGGGCAGACUAGAGUGUGGUAGGGGAGACUGGAAUUCCUGGUGUAGCGGUGAAAUGCGCAGAUAUCAGGAGGAACACCGAUGGCGAAGGCAGGUCC
rnacentral:rRNA from 1 species